rnacentral:piRNA from 1 species
ACAACAACAAACCGAAGUGUGCUUUCCGUC